rnacentral:tRNA from 1 species
GUUUUAAUAGUUUAAUAAAAACAUUGGUCUUGUAAACCAAAAUUAAAUAGUAUUUUUAAAACU